GCGGGGGUUGCCGAGCCAGGUUAAAGGCGGCGGACUCAAGAUCCGCUGGCGUAGGCCUUCGUGGGUUCAAAUCCCACCCCCCGCA
rnacentral:tRNA from 1 species